AGUGAACGCUGGCGGUAGGCCUAACACAUGCAAGUCGAACGGCAGCACAGUAAGAGCUUGCUCUUACGGGUGGCGAGUGGCGGACGGGUGAGGAAUACAUCGGAAUCUACUUUUUCGUGGGGGAUAACGUAGGGAAACUUACGCUAAUACCGCAUACGACCUACGGGUGAAAGCAGGGGAUCUUCGGACCUUGCGCGAUUGAAUGAGCCGAUGUCGGAUUAGCUAGUUGGCGGGGUAAAGGCCCACCAAGGCGACGAUCCGUAGCUGGUCUGAGAGGAUGUGCAGGCACACAGGAAAUGGGAGACGGUCCCGAGUCCCACGGGAGGGAGCGGUGGGGAAAAUUGGGCAAUGGGCGCGAACCUGAGCCAGCCAUACCGCGUGGGUGAGAAAGGGCCUUGGGGUUUGAAACCCUUUUGUUGGGGAAGAAAAGGGGCAGGUUUAUAUCCCGCUGUUCUGACGGUACCCAAAGAAUAAGCACCGGCUAACUUCGUG
rnacentral:rRNA from 1 species